GGGGGCAUAGCUCAGUUGGUAGAGCAGCGGACUCUUAAUCCGUUUGUCCAGAGUUCGAGUCUCUGUGCCCCUACCA
rnacentral:tRNA from 1 species